rnacentral:rRNA from 2 species
UGAUUUACAUUUGAGUGAGUGGCGAACUGGUGAGUAACACGUGGGAAACCUGCCCAGAAGCGGGGGAUAACACCUGGAAACAGAUGCUAAUACCGCAUAACAACUUGGACCGCAUGGUCCGAGCUUGAAAGAUGGCUUCGGCUAUCACUUUUGGAUGGUCCCGCGGCGUAUUAGCUAGAUGGUGGGGUAACGGCUCACCAUGGCAAUGAUACGUAGCCGACCUGAGAGGGUAAUCGGCCACAUUGGGACUGAGACACGGCCCAAACUCCUACGGGAGGCAGCAGUAGGGAAUCUUCCACAAUGGACGAAAGUCUGAUGGAGCAACGCCGCGUGAGUGAAGAAGGGUUUCGGCUCGUAAAACUCUGUUGUUAAAGAAGAACAUAUCUGAGAGUAACUGUUCAGGUAUUGACGGUAUUUAACCAGAAAGCCACGGCUAACUACGUGCCAGCAGCCGCGGUAAUACGUAGGUGGCAAGCGUUGUCCGGAUUUAUUGGGCGUAAAGCGAGCGCAGGCGGUUUUUUAAGUCUGAUGUGAAAGCCUUCGGCUCAACCGAAGAAGUGCAUCGGAAACUGGGAAACUU